GCGAGAGUGGCGGAACUGGCAGACGCGCCGGACUUAGAAUCCGGUGGCCGGAAGGCCUUGGGGGUUCGACUCCCCCCUUUCGCACCA
rnacentral:tRNA from 1 species